GAUGAACGCUAGCGACAGGCCUAACACAUGCAAGUCGAGGGGCAGCAUAAAAGUAGCAAUACUUUGGUGGCGACCGGCGCACGGGUGAGUAACACGUAUGCAACCUACCUACAACAUUGGGAUAACCCGUUGAAAGACGGCCUAAUACCGAAUAAUACAGGGGCUCCACAUGGGGAUAUUUGUUAAAGAUUUAUCGGUUGUAGAUGGGCAUGCGUAUGAUUAGCUAGUUGGUGAGGUAACGGCUCACCAAGGCAACGAUCAUUAGGGGUUCUGAGAGGAAGGUCCCCCACACUGGUACUGAGACACGGACCAGACUCCUACGGGAGGCAGCAGUGAGGAAUAUUGGUCAAUGGUCGAGAGACUGAACCAGCCAAGUCGCGUGAAGGAUGACGGUUCUAUGAAUUGUAAACUUCUUUUAUCAGGGAAUAAAGUGAGGUACGUGUACCUUUUUGUAUGUACCUGAUGAAUAAGCAUCGGCUAACUCCGUG
rnacentral:rRNA from 1 species